GACGAACGCUGGCGGCGUGCCUAAUACAUGCAAGUUGAGCGCUGAAGGUUGGUACUUGUACCGACUGGAUGAGCAGCGAACGGGUGAGUAACGCGUGGGGAAUCUGCCUUUGAGCGGGGGACAACAUGUGGAAACGAAUGCUAAUACCGCAUAAAAACUUUAAACACAAGUUUUAAGUUUGAAAGAUGCAAUUGCAUCACUCAAAGAUGAUCCCGCGUUGUAUUAGCUAGUUGGUGAGGUAAAGGCUCACCAAGGCGAUGAUACAUAGCCGACCUGAGAGGGUGAUCGGCCACAUUGGGACUGAGACACGGCCCAAACGCCUACGGGAGGCAGCAGUAGGGAAUCUUCGGCAAUGGACGAAAGUCUGACCGAGCAACGCCGCGUGAGGGAAGAAGGUUUUCGGAUCGUAAAACUCGGUUGGUAGAGAAGAACGUUGGUGAGAGUGGAAAGCUCAUCAAGUGACGGUAACUACCCAGAAAGGGACGGCUAACUACGUG
rnacentral:rRNA from 1 species